GGUAACGAUAUGACACAUUAACUCGCUGCUCUGAGGGCGUCUUUAUUGUCUACAUGGUAAUGCUUAGCAGCGCAUGUAACCCUGCUCUUAGGGCACCUUUUCUGCAGGUUCAGGGCAUAUUUGAUGCACACAUGUACCGGUAAUUCCCCACACAGCAGAGGACUCCGAUGCGGAGCCGCGUUCAAGUCACCACAUCCGUGUCACUGUCACAUUCCUUUGGGUUCCACUUGGUGGAUCAGGGUCGCCACCGUGCGCCGCCCCAAAUUCUACUGUCAAAACGCGGACCAUAAUCGCAUCCAUAUCUGAUUCACAAACGCGGACGCGCUGUAAAAUCUAACGGACGUUGGUACAGUUUUUGUUGGGGCAGACACGACCGAACAGCGCUCUCCAUAAACAGGUGGAAUUACCUCUGGGUCGGACAGGGCUAGCCAGCUGUAAUCCACCCUGCUACAGUGAUGCCCGCCUGCCUCCCGGCUUUUACGACCAAGAAUCGGAGCGCUGAUGUGAUGUUUCCCCGUCGACUGAUGAGGGAAGGAAGAGAAGGCAGCCACGACACGCGAUUGUUCAACAUGACAGUGAGACAG